UCAUUCAUGUUGUUUGAUGUUUUUUUGCCUUAACAUGCUGUUUUUUACUUUUUGUCAACAGCUACCACUGCGCUGUGAAGCACAAAUUUAUGUGGUCCCAUUGGAGAAAAAAAUCAUCCAAGUUAACUGCUCUCAAUACCAGAUAAUGGUAGAUGGAACUCCUCCCUCCAAUACAAAUGAAGGAGAAAGUCAAAGAGCUGAUGAAGAAAUAAGAAAAGAUGACAGACAGGGACCUAAUGAUGAGGAUGAACCUGGGCACAAAUACAGACAUAAACAUAGGCACGGAUUGAAAAAGGAUCAUGAAUUUGCCAAAAGGCACAAGCAUGAAACUGACUGCGGGCACAGGAGGGGCCAUAGGUGUGGACAUGGAAAACACGGUAAAAAUGGUAAACACAGACAUCACAAAUCUGAAUCUUCUGAGGAGUCCGGUGAAAGGGUUUUUAGUCAAAAAGAAACCCUCCCAUCAUCCACUGCUGAAACAGCAUUAGAGCUCCUUAAUGCAGGGGUUGUAAGGACAGAAAUCGGUACUCCUACAGAACCACUACAUUCUCCUGAUACCUCUUCAUUUAAUGGGAUGUCGGAUCACACAGAAUCUCCUCUCCCCAAGUGUCCUGGAAAACCUUGGAAACCAAUUCUGGACCUGCCCAUUCCUUCCAGCUUUCCCAGUGAAUUCAUAAAUGAGGAUCUCUUGCCUUCUGUUGCAGAAAACAUCGAUCUUACAACGGAAAACCCACCGCCUCCCCAAAAUGAAGGGAUGAGCCUUGAUCUUGCAGACGCAUUACAAUAAUUCAAGCAUCACAGGAUCCUCUCCAAAAGCCCCACAGAGAAAACCAGAGAAUAUCUGCCUUUUGAAAUAUACGAGAUCUAAGAGGCAAAAGCUCCUAUUCAGUCAGCUGAAAUACUCAAGUUGGUCAUCAGUGCUCCGUGUCUGCUUAACUGUUGCACAUUUGGCAAAAACGUACAUCAGGCAUGGCACCAAUGAUUCAGAAGCUGUCCAGUAAAGGGACUGGGCAAAUCAACAGCUUUCUGCUUCCAAAGUUCCAAUCACAACCAUCAUAUCUGCCCCGUGUGGCUACAAGCAUACAGCAAACCAUUGCAUCCAACUUCACUGUAUUAUGUUUAAAAAACAAAGAAUUUUGUAGAUUAUGAAGAAUUUCAACCAAAUAUGCACAACACAAAAUUAAACCACUACAGAGCAAGGAUGCCUCUCUUAGAUAUCUGAAAUUAUAUUUCUCUAAUUUCCAGGAGCGAAUCUUUUGAAGAAGAAAAUAAAAUAAAGGAACCUCUUUUACUUGUCA
rnacentral:lncRNA from 1 species